rnacentral:sRNA from 1 species
UUUCUUCAUUUUGAGUCUUUGAU